ACCCUUAGAUAAAUAAAUUACUAUGAUUUGGAUGUGUAUAUGUUCAUAUUUAUAUGUUUUUCCUAAAGUUAACUCAGUAUUUUAGGAGAAAUUGUCAUAGUGGCCACCAGCAAGAACUGUGUUAUGAGAAC